GAUGAACGCUGGCGGCGUGCCUAAUACAUGCAAGUCGAGCGAACGGACGAGAAGCUUGCUUCUCUGAUGUUAGCGGCGGACGGGUGAGUAACACGUGGAUAACCUACCUAUAAGACUGGGAUAACUUCGGGAAACCGGAGCUAAUACCGGGUAAUAUUUUGAACCGCAUGGUUCAAAAGUAAAAGACGGUCUUGCUGUCACUUAUAGAUGGAUCCGCGCUGCAUUAGCUAGUUGGUAAGGUAACGGCUUACCAAGGCAACGAUGCAUAGCCGACCUGAGAGGGUGAUCGGCCACACUGGAACUGAGACACGGUCCAGACUCCUACGGGAGGCAGCAGUAGGGAAUCUUCCGCAAUGGGCGAAAGCCUGACGGAGCAACGCCGCGUGAGUGAUGAAGGUCUUCGGAUCGUAAAACUCUGUUAUUAGGGAAGAACAUAUGUGUAAGUAACUGUGCACAUCUUGACAGUACCUAAUCAGAAAGCCACGGCUAACUACGUG
rnacentral:rRNA from 1 species